GACUCGGUAGCUCGGUUGGUAGAGCAGUGGGGCGGAAUCCCUAAGUCUUGAGUUCGAUCCUCACUCGGGUUC